GAUGAAGAACGCAGCGAAAUGCGAUACUUGGUGUGAAUUGCAGAAUCCCGUGAACCAUCGAGUCUUUGAACGCAAGUUGCGCCUCAAGCCAUUAAGUUGAGGGCACGUCUGCCUGGGCGUCACAUAUCGUUGCCUGAUGCCAGUUUCCUCGUGAUGGGUGACUGUGCAGGGCGAAUGAUGGCUUCCCGUGAGCAUUGUUGCCUCAUGGUUGGUUGAAAAUUGAGUCCUUGGUAGGGAGCGCCGUGAUAGAUGGUGGUUGAGUGACGAACGAGACCCAAUCAUGUGAGACCCCUACCGAAUUUGGCCUUCAUGACCCACAUGCGUCUUUGGAACGCUCAUGACGAGACCUCAGGUCAGGCGGGGCUACCCGCUGAGUUUAAGCAUAUCAAUAAGCGGAGGA
rnacentral:misc_RNA from 1 species